UUGCAGAAAUGAACUCAAGUCAAAAGUUUGUUUUCAGGUAUGAAAAAUCCAAGUUAUUGCUGUUGUUGAAAUUUAGAUAUAAUUAGUAUUUGAUCUAUAACGUAGAAUCUUAGAACUAUAAUAUGAAAGCAAAAUUUAAGUAGGCAAUAAAGCUUGUUGAAUUGUACUAAAAUUAGGAGCUUAUUGGUAGUUAUAUUACAUAGAAUUAUAUAAUGUGUGGUAACUAAUAUAUGAUUUUGAAAUUGUUCAGAUGGAGAUUCUGACAGAUCAACUAUAACAAUGUGCAAGAGCUACUUCAACACGUUUUGAUAAGGAGGAGAACAACCUUUCAUGGGACACUUGCAUUUUAUUUUUAUGUAAAUAUUUUAGUGAUAAUAUUUGUAAGGCUCUGUAUAUUUCAAACUACAAUUUAAAUAUUAAUUUAUUUAAUUUUUGAAUUAUAUCUUGAAUAUUAUGAUAAAAUCUGUUACAUAAUUUUAUACAUUUUAUUUUCAAUUUAAUUUAAUUUUUACAUUUUCAGUUAAAAUAUUUUAUUUUAAUUUUGCUGAAAAUAGCUAUUUUUAUUUUUUUUAAAUAUCAAAUACAGUUCCUACGAAAAUUUUGUAGGUAAUGUGCUGACACAUGCUGACCACAGUGGCAGCUGACACAAAUACGUUUCCUACGAAAAUUUGGUAGGUAAUGUGCUGACUCAUGAUGUCACUGACACAAAUGCAUUACCUACGAAGUUUGUCGGAAAUGUUGUAGGAAUAGUCAGCUUUUUACCUACAAAGCUCUUGGUAGGAAAUGUCG
rnacentral:lncRNA from 1 species